rnacentral:lncRNA from 1 species
UAUAUUUCGUCAUUUUUUUAAAAAAAUAAACAUAGCUAAAAAGUAUAAAGGGGAACUUGGGCUUUACGUGUUGAGAAUUCGGAACUCGUCCCGGUACCGAAUUUUGAGAAUUCGUAAUCCGCUUCGAUACUGACUAUUGUGAAUUCGAUACUGAUUGAUGGGAUUCUGCAACGGAAGUGUCAAAUCAAAUUUUUACAAUAAAUUCGUCUCUUCAGCAGAAGCUGAUACAAUCAUAAAAGAGAAAAAAAAUCAAAACAGAAAAUAUGCGGGUAAAAUAAGAUUUAUUAAAUAAGAAAAAAUUACACCUAACUCCUUUUCUAUAUAGAGUAGCUACAAUCCGAGCCCUCUUUCUGAAUCUCUCCUACUGUUCUCUCGUCCUCUAUAAACCCACAAAGAGAACAACUCUUCACGUACACCCGUAUACUA